GAACCUGCGGAAGGGACUCAGCUCUGGAAGUGACCCCCCAGGCUUAGAGGGCCCCUAGGCCAGGUCUGCACACCGACAGGCUGGAGUAGAGAGACCAGGGCGAACUCAGGAGGCUUCGGACCAGUCUGGAGGUGUUGUGGCCAAAGUGGUUUGGGACCCUAUGAAUAGACCGUGGGCGGGUCCUGGCUUGACAAAGAAGGGACUAAGCUUCGCGGGGCCCAGAACCGUCAGGGGCGGGGCCAGAGAAUGGUGAUACUCUCCCCUGCGAAAAGGCGGGAGAGAGGCGGGACCAGAAUGGAGCAGGAGCUGGGGCAGCGGCCAGGCCGCGAAUUGGCCAGGCCAAAAAGAAAAGGCCCAGAAAGGACACGGCCGCCUAGGGGCGGAGCAUGGGAAGGGCGCGCUCACGGUGCCGCUGGGAGCAGGGGGUAGCUGAGCACCGGGAAGCGACCUCCCUGACCGAAUCGGGCGCUGCGCGCCAGGGCAUCAUCGUCCACCACGUGUGGCACGAUCACGGCACGGGGGUAUCUGGGGCACAAGCUGAAGUCCCCGUUCACCUCGCUCAGCCGCCACGUGUUGGUCUGCGGAGCAGGGAGGAGAGAGGCCAGGUCUAGGGCACCCAGGGAGUGCCCUGUCCCCGCGCCUCUUCCAGGCCCGGCGCUUCCACCUCACCAGGCCCCCACGACCGCCCCACUUCGCGAGCUACUCUCUUGUAGUAGCGUUCGGGCGGAAGGAAGAGCCAGGAGUCGCCCAAUCUCAGGCCCUUGGGACGGUAGAAUAAAGGGAAGGAGGUGAUGACGGAUUCCAGGGAGGACAGCGCCCGGAGAAGGAAGUCAGGGGCUCUGAGGAGAGUCGGAAUAGUCUCGCCUGCGCCCUUUCCAGCCCCUCAGCCCCGUAGCUUCAGCUUCGGCCUCUCCAAGUACCCCAGACCACCCUGCAUCCCCCUGGCAUUUAGCUGCGGCUGCGGGGCCUCUUUGAACAGUAGCACCUUUUUUCCCCUCCACGCGAGACAGGGAUAGCUUAAAGGGCUUGGGCGCGCCCUCGACACACCUCGAUGGAGGGGGCGAUGUCCAGCGUUGCUUCCGCGCCCUCUAUUUCCAGCUGCAGCACUCGCAGGUCCUUACAGCGCAGGGUGAUGGUGCCCGAGUCACUCGCAACCCUGGGGAGGGACGGGCCCAGGCUUAGUGUCCCUCGCUAAGGAGGGGAUGAUGUCCUCCUGCGUAACGCAGGGUGAUGGUGCCCUCCUGCGUAACACCCAAUCCGGGAAACUCGUUGCCCCUCUCCUGGGACAACGAAACUCGUUGCCCCUCUCUGAGACUCAUUGUCCUUUCCCAGGCGAGGGGCAACGAGUUUCCCGG